AGGGCACCCCCCGGAGUGGAGCCUGCGGCUUAAUUUGACUCAACACGGGAAAACUUACCCGGCCCGGACACUGGAAGGAUUGACAGAUUGAGAGCUCUUUCUUGAUUCAGUGGGUGGGGGUGCAUGGCCGUUCUUAGUUGGUGGAGCGAUUUGUCUGGUUAAUUCCGAUAACGAACGAGACUCUAGCCUACUAAAUAGAUUGCCGGCUUAUUCUCGCCGGCAAGACUUCUUAGAGGGACAGGGGGGUGAUUCCACCGCACGAAACAAAACAAUAACAGGUCUGUGAUGCCCUUUGGAUGCCCCGGGGCCCGCACGCGCGCUACACUGAAGAGAUUAGUGGGCUUUUCUCCCCAGCCCCCCCCCGAAGGGGGAAAACAAAGAAACCUCCCCCGAUCGGGAUAUGGACUUGUAAUUUUUUUCCUUGCCCGAUGAAUCCCCGUACCGGGAGGCCAGCGUCGUUUGUUUCUUCCUUGACGUUCGUGCCCCCGCCCGCGCACACCAGAUUACUACUUAUCUGGG
rnacentral:rRNA from 1 species